UACGUAGGGUGCGAGCGUUGUCCGGAAUUACUGGGCGUAAAGGGCUCGUAGGCGGCCAACUAAGUCAGACGUGAAAUCCCUCAGCUUAACUGGGGAACUGCGUCUGAUACUGGAUGGCUUGGAUCCGGGAGAGGGAUGCGGAAUUCCAGGUGUAGCGGUGAAAUGCGUAGAUAUGCGGAGGAACACCGAUGGCGAAGGCAAUCCCCUGGGCCUGCACUGACGCUCAUGCACGAAAGCGUGGGGAGCAAACAGG
rnacentral:rRNA from 1 species